UACGUAGGGUGCAAGCGUUAUCCGGAAUUAUUGGGCGUAAAGAGCUCGUAGGCGGUUUGUCACGUCUGCUGUGAAAACUGGAGGCUCAACCUCCAGCCUGCAGUGGGUACGGGCAGACUAGAGUGCGGUAGGGGAGAUUGGAAUUCCUGGUGUAGCGGUGGAAUGCGCAGAUAUCAGGAGGAACACCGGAGUGGAGCGGGAAUCGCGUGGCUGGAACCAGUAAC
rnacentral:rRNA from 1 species